CUUUCAAAAUUAAGAUCAAGAUAAAAAAAAUAAAAAAAUUAUUUAAUUUGCAUGUUGCUUGCAAUGGAAUUCGAAACCUAACCCCCUGGAAAUCAAC